rnacentral:rRNA from 1 species
UACAGAGGUCCCAAGCGUUGUUCGGAUUCACUGGGCGUAAAGGGCGCGUAGGCGGUUGGGGAAGUCUGAUGUGAAAUCUCACAGCUUAACUGUGAAACUGCAUUGGAUACUAUCCGGCUAGAGGAAUGGAGGGGAGACUGGAAUACUUGGUGUAGCAGUGAAAUGCGUAGAUAUCAAGUGGAACACCAGUGGCGAAGGCGAGUCUCUGGACAUUUCCUGACGCUGAGGCACGAAAGCCAGGGGAGCAAACGGG